GUGCCAGCCGCCGCGGUAAUACAGAGAGUGCAAACGUUGUUCGGAAUUACUGGGCUUAAAGCGCGCGUAGGCUGCAUCGUAAGUGUCUGGUGAAAUCCCACGGCUCACCCGUGGAACUGCCAGGCAUACUGCGGUGCUAGAGUGUGGUAGGGGAGAGCGGAACUCCUGGUGGAGCGGUGAAAUGCGUAGAUAUCAGGAGGAACACCGGUGGCGAAGGCGGCUCUCUGGUCCAUAACUGACGCUGAGGUGCGAAAGCUAGGGGAGCAAACGGGAUUAGAUACCCUGGUAGUCCACGCCUUAAACGAUGGAUACUAAGUGUCGGCGGGUUACCGCCGGUGCCGCAGCUAACGCAUUAAGUAUCCCGCCUGGGAAGUACGGCCGCAAGGUUGAA
rnacentral:rRNA from 1 species